rnacentral:rRNA from 1 species
UACAUGCAAGUCGAGCGGACAGAUGGGAGCUUGCUCCCUGAUGUUAGCGGCGGACGGGUGAGUAACACGUGGGUAACCUGCCUGUAAGACUGGGAUAACUCCGGGAAACCGGGGCUAAUACCGGAUGGUUGUUUGAACCGCAUGGUUCAAACAUAAAAGGUGGCUUCGGCUACCACUUACAGAUGGACCCGCGGCGCAUUAGCUAGUUGGUGAGGUAAUGGCUCACCAAGGCAACGAUGCGUAGCCGACCUGAGAGGGUGAUCGGCCACACUGGGACUGAGACACGGCCCAGACUCCUACGGGAGGCAGCAGUAGGGAAUCUUCCGCAAUGGACGAAAGUCUGACGGAGCAACGCCGCGUGAGUGAUGAAGGUUUUCGGAUCGUAAAGCUCUGUUGUUAGGGAAGAACAAGUACCGUUCGAAUAGGGCGGUACCUUGACGGUACCUAACCAGAAAGCCACGGCUAACUACGUGCCAGCAGCCGCGGUAAUACGUAGGUGGCAAGCGUUGUCCGGAAUUAUUGGGCGUAAAGGGCUCGCAGGCGGUUUCUUAAGUCUGAUGUGAAAGCCCCCGGCUCAACCGGGGAGGGUCAUUGGAAACUGGGGAACUUGAGUGCAGAAGAGGAGAGUGGAAUUCCACGUGUAGCGGUGAAAUGCGUAGAGAUGUGGAGGAACACCAGUGGCGAAGGCGACUCUCUGGUCUGUAACUGACGCUGAGGAGCGAAAGCGUGGGGAGCGAACAGGAUUAGAUACCCUGGUAGUCCACGCCGUAAACGAUGAGUGCUAAGUGUUAGGGGGUUUCCGCCCCUUAGUGCUGCAGCUAACG